rnacentral:rRNA from 1 species
GCCUAUGGCCAUACCAUCCUGAACGCGCUUUAUCUCAUCUGAUCGCAGAAGCUAAGCAGGGUUGGAUCUGGCUAGUACUUGAAAGGGAGAAUUCUGGUUACUGAGUCU